UCACCGUGGCUACAGAGCUUCUAUGACCCUGGCCACAGCCAAGUUUAAAGGCUACUAACCUACGUAAGAUUUAAUAACCUUUAAAACCAUGACCAUAGAGAGACCUGUCAACGAAUACAGCAAAGAUCUGCAGUUUUUGAGAAAAACAUGUGCAUGAGGCAGAUGCGGUGCGACUCGGGUUUCGCCAUUUGAUGGAAGACUGUGUCCCUUCUCGCUGGUCAGUCUCACCGGAGGAAAGGAAGGAUCGUUUUGAACGGUCAUCCAACUCGGAAUUCCAAGUCAGAAACUCGGCAUCUUUCUAGAGCUCCGACUUUUCGACCUGAAGAUCACUCACGUUGUGAUUUGACCUCGUUGACCAUCAGAUGCAGUAGUUACUGUCUUGUCUCAUCGCUGCAACUCCCGUACGGACUCGGGAGAGGCGAAGGUCGAGAGCCAUGCGUCCUCCGAAACACAACCCAACCAAGCCGCACUGCUUCUUGACACAAUACACAUCCAACCCGGAAGCCGCACUAAUGUGUCGGAGGAAACACCGUACACCUGGAGACCUGGUCAGCGUGCACUGCAACAGGCAUGACACAGGAGUCGCUAGUGCGCAAUGAGACAAGGAUAUCCCUGCCGGACAAACCCUCCCCAACCCAGACGACGCUGUGCCAAUUGUGCGCCGCCCCAUGGGCCUCCCGGUCGCGGCCGACUGCGACAGAGCCUGGGCUCAAACCUAGAAUCUCUGGUGGACAGCUAGCACUGCGAUGCAGUGCCUUAGGCCACUGCGCCACCUGGGAGGCUCAACUUCAUAAUUCUAUGCACUAUGAAUUUUUCUAGAAUCUUUACAUCACAACACUGAAGUGUAAGGGGCCUCCAAUUUUUUUACUGGACUGGAUUUUAUAUUUACCACUUGGAUCCUGUUUGAGUAAAUUGAGUAUCUGAUAAUCUACCAUUUUUAUAGGAGUGGUUAAAACAUGCAAAUAACGGUCUUCUGAGUACAUCAAAAAAGGUUUGGUGUACCUCAACUGUUAUGCCAUCCAGCCCUGAUGUUUUCCCGGACUUAAAGGCUUUAAUUGCAUCAAGAAGUUGGAUGGAGGAGACUGAAACGAGUACUUUUGUAAGGAUCGACGCUGGUAGAGACGAGAAGCAGGUACAGGGAGUGAACAUUUAAUAUCAACGGACAUGGAACAGGACAGGACAGCGUCUGGACAUGAACACAUAAUGACAAUAAUGCUGACACAGGGAACAAACGGGGGAGCAGACAAAAAUAGGGAAGGCAAUCAACAAAGUGAAGGAGUCCAGGUGAGUCCAAUGAGCGCUGAUGCGCGUAAUGAUGGUGACAGGUGUGCGUAAUGAAGGUGUGCGCAACCUGGCGCCCUUGAGUGCCAGAGAGGGAGAGCGGGAGCAGGCAUGACAACUUUGCUCCCUCUUCCAAAAUAUUGUUUGAUGAAUCAUGGGGGACUCCGUCAUUUGUAAGUUUCAAUAAAUUAGGUUGAGAUGAAAAAAUAAUGUGGUGCAUUUUUCCCCAUAUUCCAUCCAGUUCACUUUAUUUUUUGUCAUAUAUUACACUUGAUCUUUCUUGAAUAAGUUCCUCCAUUUAUUUUAGUUUUUCCUCUUAACAUAUUCUGUGCCUCUAUGGUACAGUUUUUAUUGCUAUCUGUACUGUUUGUCCCUCUAUUUCCUUUGGUAAUAUGAGUUCUUUUGACUUAAAUUGCUUUUGUUUUAAAGUUGAGUAUUGAAUUACAUGACCUCUAAAUGCACAUUUAAGUGUCCCAUAGAUUAAGGGGAUCUGCUGUGCCUAUAUUAUGUCAGAAAAAGUAAGUUAUAAAUGAUUCUGUCCUGGUUAAAAACAAGGUUUUAU